ensembl:lincRNA 4930447M23Rik RIKEN cDNA 4930447M23 gene
AGUUUGCAGGCUGGCAAACAGGCUGGGAAAGCCCUUGAGAGACUCAGACAGCUCACGCCAUACUUCAGACUUCAUAGACCUGGGAGACAUCCAGCUUUCUCCCCCAGAGAAGCCGCAGCCUGGUCCCUUCCCCUGCCACACCAUCUGGUCCACAGAAACACCAGACUUCCGUGUCUCUCGGCCCUAUANNNNNNNNNNNNNNNNNNNNNNNNNNNNNNNNNNNNCCUCCCACCCACCCGUCUCUCCUCUCUCCUUGCCUUUGGUCUUUCUGUCUUAUCCCUUCUCCCCUGCCAAUCACUCCCUUUCUUCUCAACACUCCUCCUCCAUCUCCCCUCUGUGCACCUGCAGUGCUAUUCUUUGUCUAACCAUGAAAACAUCCUCGAAGGGCUUCUAGAACAUUCAUAUGUCUGGAGGAGUUAGAGUCCUCCAGCGCUGGGGUUGGCAAUUCUGCCUCCUUAGCGUCCAGGAUAGACGAAGCAUUUAUUCCGAGGCUUUGUGCGCCCUCUUGUGGUUUCUCCGUCAUGCCAACUCCCGCAGACAAUGGCUGCUUUGUCCAGAAGAGAUGAUGAUUUAGAUGACAACCUGGCUUAAACCUCAGAAACCUUCAAUCUCUCCUUCUUCAAACAGUUUUUAUUAGAAGGAUGGCUGUGAAAAAUGAAGUCCUUAUGCACAAAGCCACCGCGUUUCACUGCGAUGUUCACCUGGCCUAUGAAGAUCUCCGGACACAAAACCAGGCAACAAAAUCAGGAUGCAACAAGAUGGAGGGGCAAAGCACAGAAGCGGAGUGGGCCCUGCCGUAGGAUGGUGAUGAGUCCAAUCUUGUGCAUGUCUCAUACACAGAAGAGCUGCAAGCUCAGGAACAAAACGGCCACAUCAUGCACAGAAGACAGUGCCCCAUGACAGAUACUCCAUUUCUUACUCAGACACCCACUCUGAGAAAACAGUUGACUUUCACUGGCCAUGAGAACCAUCUGGAUUCUGGUGAUAACUGGAUCCUCCUGUUCCCAAGGCUACCCAUCAAUGUCUGUGUGCCAGAUGCUGGGGCUGCUCAGUCCUGCAAAGCUCUGUCGCCAGCCUUCUAGUAGAAGAAAUGUGCAAGCUGGAAGUGUCUCUUAGUCUCUUCACUGAUAGCCAAUGGAAUGUCCAUUUGAGCCAAUUUGGGGGAGUUUAUUAGCAGAAAUGAGGUAAACACUAAAUGGCAAAAUGGAUCACCUUCCCGUGGAAGCUGCCACCACACUAUGAGGGAUCAGCCUCAUGAAAGGACACUCAGUUAUUAUUCCCUCUCACUCCAUAAACAGGAUAUAUUCAAAGUCAGCACAUCAGUAAGAUAUUCCAGACAAAGCAUCCGUAGCAAAGAGUUAAGAUCUAAAUGCAACAAUUCAAAAGCCAGGAGAGACCAAGAAGCACAUGAUAGCUUUAUUAUUCUAAAUUGCCCAUUUUAGCACAGAUUCUAAAAUUGAAAUAGAGCAAAUUCUGUCUC